GAGUAGAGCAGUUGGUAGCUCGUCGGGCUCAUAACCCGGAGGUCGCAGGUUCAAAUCCUGUCUCC
rnacentral:tRNA from 1 species